GAUGAACGCUGGCGGCGUGCUUAACACAUGCAAGUCGAACGAUGAAGCCCAGCUUGCUGGGUGGAUUAGUGGCGAACGGGUGAGUAACACGUGAGUAACCUGCCCUUGACUCUGGGAUAAGCCCGGGAAACUGGGUCUAAUACCGGAUAGGAGCGCCUGUCGCAUGACGGGUGUUGGAAAGAUUUUUCGGUCAUGGAUGGACUCGCGGCCUAUCAGCUUGUUGGUGAGGUAAUGGCUCACCAAGGCGACGACGGGUAGCCGGCCUGAGAGGGUGACCGGCCACACUGGGACUGAGACACGGCCCAGACUCCUACGGGAGGCAGCAGUGGGGAAUAUUGCACAAUGGGCGGAAGCCUGAUGCAGCGACGCCGCGUGAGGGAUGACGGCCUUCGGGUUGUAAACCUCUUUCAGUAGGGAAGAAAGC
rnacentral:rRNA from 1 species